UCAUUAGUGCAGAUUCAGCCACAACCGUAUGACUAUGGUUGUUGUGCUUAAGCGUCAACUGUCUCUCACCCCAUCCCUUUCAAAGUAUAUAUUAAAAUAAUAUAUACAAUAUAUUUUCAAUGUAAUUCUACAUUGAAAGGAAAGCAUAAUGAUCAAAAUUUAUUUGAUUAUAUCUUUUCUUUAUCCUAAAAAAAAAAAAAAAAAAGUGUGAGAGGGAGAAUUGACGCAUCUUGUGUCUGGGUAUAAUUUUUGAGGUAAGUUCUUCACAUUUUUUAAUUAAUUAUCUUCAGUUAUUAUAUUGACAUUAGAAGGGCCACGAAGUUGAUAUAUAUAUAUAUAUAUAUAUAUAUAUAUAUAUAUAUAUAUAUAUAUAUAUAUAAUGGUGGGGUAUACAUGUGUGUGUGUAUAGCAAAUUUAUAUGUAAUAUAUACAUAUAUAUAUAUAUAUACACAUAAUUACUCGUAUAUAACGUAUACAUGUGUAUAUCAAUAUACAUAUAAUGGUGUAUAUGUAUUAUAUAUAUAUACAUACAUAGAUACAUUUAUAUGUAUGUGUGUGUGUGUGUGAAAAUAGCUCAGAACAUGAGUAUAUGUAUUCCGUAUUAAUAAUUACACAUACGCACAUGAGGGUACGUGUGUGAGAAAAUUGCAAUGUAAUUAAAUUCAGUCUUUGCAUUUAAGUAUUCUUUGUACACUUAUGAAAUUACGUUCUCGUUUACUGUGACCUUUAAUAAUUUAUGAAUUUUUUUUAUUAAUAUGUGCUCAUAUUUUAUUUUACAUCCUUGUUACUAUUCAUUCGUUUCUUUCGCCUUUUUUCCCCCAUUCUAAAACUGAUUAUCAAAAUCAGAUUAUAAAUAAAGAAAUGCUGAUUGUUAUAUACUAAUCUCACGUUUCUAGUUUCUAUUGCGGAAAUCAAAUAUUUUAACAUUCUUAGAAUUUUACUCAGAUACAUACACACACACACACACACUUCGUCGUUGAGAUCAUAACAAGCUUAUUUAAAACAUACCGCAAUAUCACAUAAACUUCCCUUUGUUUAGCCCCUGGCCUGCUCUGAUCGAGAUCUUUGAUUCAAAAACAAUGACUCAUGACCAUCCCAUUUUUUUUUAUUACUCAGAACCACAUUUUCCAAUGACUUCUCUCUAUUUUAAAAUGUUGGAAUGUGAUUUGAAGGAGACUCGACUGCAAUUUUUAGCAGUUCGAACGACCGCGUUAUGAUUCGAUCCCUCGUGUUUUUCAGCUAUGACCGAUCGUUCGAAACGGUAACUAUCAAAUGAUUGGUAACGAGCUAACUACUGUUAUAAAAGAUAAUUUAUGUUCAGCUUAUGGCAAUAAUUACUCAUUAAUUAGUCAAGGAAGCUGGCAAUUAGUGUUGAUAAAGUAAACGGCUCCUUUCUCCAGAAAAAGAAAUAUUUGCCUGCUAUUUCUAGCAGUCCCUUCUACCACUUAACAGCUAUUUGCGAUAAAGGACCCACCGAUAUUUGACUGAAAUAAUUUUGUGACCCCUUACCCGCUUUUGUUUCCGGAAAAAGUGGCUUGCGGCGAGUUUUGGAGGUCAGAUACUCGAUAAAAAAAAAACCGUGGAAAAAAAAAUAGGUGCCGAGGUACGAAUGGGUCCUUUACGAAAUAUUUACCUAAUUAUUUUGGUCAUUCAUGGAAUGAUUUGUAUCUGGCCUAAAUUCUGGCUUGAGUAGCAGAAAAGAAAAUCUUUCGCCGGAAAGAUCUGGUAUUAAAUUUUCAAGAUUAUAAAAUACACGAAUUUCGUGUUCAAACACAAGACGAAACACUUUGGAGCUGUAUCCAAUAAAGGAACAUUUGACUAGUAAAAAUCGAUUUAAUCCUUUUCCUAAUCCAGCAGUCUCUCAUAUUCUCUCUUUUUCAAAUGAAUCCAAUGCGUGGCUCAUAAUUCUCAUAAUUUAAUGUGAUUUUUUCCCCCCAAUUGAAACUUUUUGCUGACUUUUAACUUUGCC
rnacentral:lncRNA from 1 species